GAAAUUUCGAACACGAGCCAUUCUUCCGAAACAGAAGAGAUGAAUCCUGGAAAGUUAUCCGUGUUCUUGUUGCGGUAGCGAAUAAGGAUUAGGAAGGUGAAGAAAAUUUGAAGAACAGGAAGAGGCGUUGUUCAACGAGGAAUAAGAGAAAAAGAAGAAGAUGAAUUCGGAAUUGUGAGGGAAUCGGAAGGUGUUUCAAUUUCAUCCA
rnacentral:misc_RNA from 1 species